GAUUUACGAUUGUGUCCAUCAAACGAACUAAAGUCUCUGGGAUCACUGAGUAUCGCUUUCGUUUCAUAGCCUCCUACUGUUCCGUUACGCAGCGGCAUACCGCUUCAUUUUUUACAAUUACCAUUACAUUUUUCCAAAUUACACCCAUUCUAAAGAAGUUUUCACUUAAAAAAUUUUCAUAUAAAUAUAUUUUUCUGAUUUUUCAGAUGACUGUCUUCAAUUUGGUGGCGUACCUAAGACAGAAAAUAGUAUAAUAUUGUGCAACAUUGCUUUGAGGGUCAAACAACCAUGACCCACCUUACCAACUUUCCAAGAAUACCCACCCUACGGACUUUUCAGAAAUACUCUACCAUACGAACUUUUUAGAAAUACUCCUAUCCUACAAACUUUUCAGAAGUACUAUACAGAAAUACAGUUCGGAGGGUUUGUAUUUCUGAAAUGUUCGUAGAGUAGGGUAUUUCUAAAAAGUUCGUAUGGUAGAGUAUUUCUGAAAAGUUCGUGGGGUAGUAAAAAACAAACCUAUAUUAAACUGAUUGAUAAAUUGAUUYAUUCCACAGGGGAGGUAAAUAAUUUGACUACAAGUGUCUACUCAUUAUUAUCAAGAUUGAUAAGAAGAAUCCAACAAUACUGCAACUAUGAAAGAUUUUUAAAUGAACUGUUCUUAUUAUACUUACAUUGGGAAGAAAUCAUAUGCAGUUAUGUUCUAUUAAAAGAAUACCAAAAUAAAUGUAUCCUAGUUAUCACAAAUUAAGAAAACAAAUGGCACAUUCAUUAUAUUAGGAAAUUCUAUUCAUGUCAAAAUCUUUUAUCAAGUUUUAUACACAGUAAUAGAAGAUAUUAUUUUUUCAUUGGCUGACAAGAAAAAUUUAUGUAUUUGUUAAUUAAUACUUUUUUUGCAGAGAUUCAAUGUGAAUUAUUAUGCAAAUAGAAUGCAGCUGCAGUGUCAAGAAAUAAUGAAAAUCAUAAAUUGUAAAAAGAGAUGAUAAAUCGUUUGACUAGAAGACACAACGCAUUACUUUUAACAACUAUAAGAAGAAUCUAACAAUAAUGCAACAAUGAAAUAUUUUUGAAGACACUACCCUGAUUAUACUUACAGUUGGAAAAAACCAUACUCAGUUCUAUUUCAUCAAUUAAAUUUCAGAAGGAAUGUAUCCUAGUUAUCACAAAUUGAGAAAACAAAUAGCAAAUACAUUCUAAUGUGCAGUUCUUAAUAUGUAAUAAAUUUAUUAAUGUACUUCUUACUGGGAAUUUGAAAACAUUACUGGGAAUCGACUAAUACCAAAAAAAUGUAUAUAUUUAUAAGAACUCAUGUGUUUUUUGUAGAAAUACCAACAUGUAUUUUCUUAUGCAAAUAGGAUGCAACUAUAGUGAGAAGAAACAAAAUUCUAGACAAUAAUAUGUUAAGAGGUAGAAUAUGUGGCGCCAUCUAGACGAAAGAUAACACAUCGGUAGGAGAAAAUCAAGAUGGCUACCUGUCAAUGUACUUUGAAUACCGGAAAACAGUCCACCACGUGCAGUGUAAAGUAAUUAAUUAAAGAAAUUUGAUCGGCAAUUCAGCUUAAGAAGAAAACCAUUGCACUUGAUGUUUGGUCAGUUUAAGAAGAAAACCAUUGGACUUGAUGUUUGAUCAGCUUAAGAAGAAAACCAUUAGACUUGAUGUUUGAUCAGCUUAAGAAGAAAACCAUUGGACUUGUGGUUGUGAUAUAAAAAAGAAUAUCAUUGUACUCUACAGGUUAUGUCGACUUAAAAAGAAUACCAUUGCACUUUAAAGGUUAUGUCGACGUAAAAAGUAUACCAUUGCACUUUAAAGGUUAUGUCGACGUAAAAGUAUACCAUUGCACUUGAGGUUACUUCAGAUUAAGACGUUCCGUGUCAAACUUUUUUUUACCUAUCCUAUCAUCCAAGCUAUUUAAUUUUGCUUUAAUGAAAUCAACCAUUACA